rnacentral:autocatalytically_spliced_intron from 1 species
UUUGGCACCUUAACAUAUCGGGGUGCAUGAACAGUGAUGUUUUUCCCAAUCUUUUCGUUUAAUUAAAUAAUUUAGACAGGAAUCAAGAUCAAUAAUCGGCUUAUAACGGUGAACCCGUCAGUCCGCCCAGGGCGGACCCGGCAACACCGUGGGAAGUUCAACCUUCGCUCGCUUUUGGCGAGCUUCGGCUGACAGGCGUCUAUAAAGUUAGAUUGCUUGUACACCGUAGCUUUAGCGGAGGAGUAACCCCGUAACGACUGACCCGAAAGGGAAGAGCCCGCCAACGGCGGGCUAACACGCCGACUCUUGCAGUGAAAUCUGAGGUUAUGCGGUUCACGUUCGCCUAGGCGAAUCCGCUACGAUCCAGGGCAAGAAGAAGAUAUAGUCUGCGCCACAUGAAAGUGUGGA